CACCACCUGAUUGCAGUGGCCGCGUCAACAUGGUGUUGCGGGCAGAAUGAGACCCAGAUGGCAAUGGAAAGCAAUUCCAGAGCAGCAACCCGGUUCCUGCACCACACCACCUGAUUGCAGUGGCCGUGUCCACAUGGUGUUGCGGGCAGAAUGAGACCCAUAUAACAGUGGAAAGCAAUUCCAGAGCAGCAACCUGGUGAGCAGGGCGAUGCAGGGGAGGGCUGCAUGGAAAAGAGGAGCAGGAGGCUGCUCCUCCUGUGCUUCCCAUCUGCCUUGCAGAUGGACAGCCCGACAGGAAUGGAAAGAGAUGAUCCCAAGGGCCUGAGCUCACUUCCAACAUGUGUUGUUCAUGUCCUACAAAAAAAGAUGAGUCUGCCCCA